ACUCAAAUGAAUAGACGGGGGCCCGCACAAGCGGUGGAGUAUGUGGUUUAAUUCGAUGCAACGCGAAGAACCUUACCUGGUCUUGACAUGUUAGGAACCUUACAGAGAUGUAGGGGUGCCGCAAGGAGCCUAAACACAGGUGCUGCAUGGCUGUCGUCAGCUCGUGUCGUGAGAUGUUGGGUUAAGUCCCGCAACGAGCGCAACCCUUGUCCUUAGUUGCCAUCAUUUAGUUGGGCACUCUAAGGAGACUGCCGGUGACAAACCGGAGGAAGGUGGGGAUGACGUCAAGUCCUCAUGGCCCUUAUGACCAGGGCUACACACGUACUACAAUGGUCGGUACAGAGGGUCGCCAACCCGCAAGGGGGAGCUAAUCCCGAAAAGCCGAUCGUAGUCCGGAUCGGAGUCUGCAACUCGACUCCGUGAAGUCGGAAUCGCUAGUAAUCGCGGAUCAGCAUUGCCGCGGUGAAUACGUUCCCGGGCCUUGUACACACCGCCCGU
rnacentral:rRNA from 1 species